GAACGCUGGCGGCGUGCUUAACNCAUGCAAGUCGAACGAAGAUGCCGGAGUGCUUGCACUUUGGCAGACUGAGUGGCGGACGGGUGAGUAACGCGUGGGUAACCUGCCUUAUACAGGGGGAUAACAGUUGGAAACGACUGCUAAUACCGCAUAAGCGCACGGUAUCGCAUGAUACAGUGUGAAAAACUCCGGUGGUAUAAGAUGUGCCCAGAUGGGAUUAGCUAGUAGGUGGGGUAACGGCUCACCUAGGCGACGAUCCCUAGCUGGUCUGAGAGGAUGACCAGCCACACUGGAACUGAGACACGGUCCAGACUCCUACGGGAGGCAGCAGUGGGGAAUAUUGCACAAUGGGCGCAAGCCUGAUGCAGCCAUGCCGCGUGUAUGAAGAAGGCCUUCGGGUUGUAAAGUACUUUCAGCGGGGAGGAAGGGAGUAAAGUUAAUACCUUUGCUUAUUGACGUUACCCGCAGAAGAAGCACCGGCUAACUCCGUG
rnacentral:rRNA from 1 species